rnacentral:rRNA from 1 species
AGGAAAUUUGAGAGGAGCUGUCCUUAGUACGAGAGGACCGGGAUGGACGCACCGCUGGUGCACCAGUUGUUCCGCCAGGAGCACAGCUGGGUAGCUAAGUGCGGACGGGAUAAGCGCUGAAAGCAUCUAAGCGUGAAGCCCCCCUCAAGAUGAGAUUUCCCAAUAAGUAAGACCCCUUGAAGACGACAAGGUUGAUAGGCCUGAGGUGGAAGUGCAGCAAUGCAUGGAGCUGACAGGUACUAAUCGGUCGAGGGCUUAUCCA